rnacentral:rRNA from 1 species
AACGAACGCUGGCGGCAGGCUUAACAUAUGCAAGUCGAGCGCCCCGCAAGGGGAGCGGCAGACGGGUGAGUAACGCGUGGGAAUCUACCCAUCUCUACGGAAUAACGCAUGGAAACGUGUGCUAAUACCGUAUACGUCCUUCGGGAGAAAGAUUUAUCGGAGAUGGAUGAGCCCGCGUUGGAUUAGCUAGUUGGUGGGGUAAAGGCCUACCAAGGCGACGAUCCAUAGCUGGUCUGAGAGGAUGAUCAGCCACCCUGGGACUGAGACACGGCCCAGACUCCUACGGGAGGCAGCAGUGGGGAAUAUUGGACAAUGGGCGCAAGCCUGAUCCAGCCAUGCCGCGUGAGUGAUGAGGGCCCUAGGGUUGUAAAGCUCUUUCACCGGUGAAGAUAAUGACGGUAACCGGAGAAGAAGCCCCGGCUAACUUCGUGCCAGCAGCCGCCGUAACAC